AGGUGGAACAUAGUUUUUCAAUUUAAAAAUGUAAAAUAAAGCUCUUAGAUUGGUGGUUGCCAGAGGCAAAUCCUGGGAGACAGGAAAAACCCUUAGUUUGCUUGCUUCAAUACAUUGAAUUUGGUCUUUUUAGAGCCGAACCCACGACAUAUGAAGGUUCCCAGGAUAGGGGUCGAAGCAGAGCUGGAGCCACCCGUCUAUACCACAGCCACAGCAACAUGGGAUCCAAGCCACCUCUUCAACCUACACCACAGCUCACGGCAAUGCUGGAUCCUCAACCCGCUGAGCAAGGCCAGGGAUCAAACCCGCGUCCUCAUGGAUGCUAGUCAGAUUCAUUGCUGCUGAGCCACGAGGAGAAAUCCUGAAUUUGUAAGAGAGAAAUCCUUUUGUAAGAAUUAGACAAAAUGAAAAAUAAAGAACAUGAACAGUUCCUGCAAAAAAGGAGUAAUAUACCUCAUUUCUUAUCCAGGAAUAGCAACAAUAAGGUGUUCAAACCCACGAUGACUAAGUGUUUCCAGUAUGAGGCGUAAAUCCAACAGAAAUGUGUGCUCAGAGUACCAGGACACGAACACGAUCGUGUUUGUGGCAACACUAUUAAAAUUUCCCGAAAGGGGGCAAAGAUCCAUGUCGUUUAAUAAUCCAAAGAAAAAAACAUAUGGUGUACGCAUGACCUAUAGUCCUAUGUAGCUGCAUGACUUGAUGAACGACAGCAACAUAAGUAAAUGUAGAAACAAAAUAUGACAAAUGAGCUAAAAGGGAAUACACACAGUGUGAUUCUAUUUGUGAGACCAAAAAAAUGAACUCAGAUUUACUUGGGCAUUCUGUAUUUUAUUCAGCAGACGUCCCCUCAGGAAGUAGAUAUAUCUUUGAUGUACUUGGAUUCUGAGAUGGACGGAUGGAUGGAUAGGUGAUCAAACAGGAUGCGUAAAGUCAUGGUGGAAUUUAAGUGAUAUACAGGCAGAUUUUCACCCACUGCCUGUAUCAAUGUGCUUGGAUAUAUGCGUAAACAUGUUCAGAGAGGGAUGCAGAAAAUGCCCCCCUGGGUCAUUAUUUUGGCAUCUCUCUUUCAGCUGAUUCAUUUUCUAGGGUCCUGACUGAGAGCUGGGGAGAGAGGAAAGGACAGGACUCCAGCUGGCCUCCAACCCCCCCUCCCAAUGCCUCAGGGACCACCUGUGCCGAGGAUACAAGGGUCCCACUGGAGCAGCUCUGAAAGCAGAGUACUCCAGGUGGUUCUACAGGAAGCAAGCACAGGUGCCUUGGACCCAGGGAAAUACUGGCCGGGACAGAAGCCUCGUGGUUUAAAAAUAACAGUGGAGAAAACUGCCAUCACACUAGUGGAAAGAAAAUUCUUAAAACAAAAAAGUAAUAAGAAAAAAGAUAUUCCACCAGAAGGAAAGACCCUGGAAGAAAAGAAGAAAAAAGAAAGAAAAAGAAGAAGAAGAAAAAAAAAGUCGUAUUUUUCAUCCCUUGGGCUUAGUGUUGGUAGCAGUCAUUACAAUGUUUACAUUUUUAUAAAUUUAUGUGUAUACUGUUUGAUAUCAAGACUUCAGCAUAAAGGAACUGCAAAUCUAAUUUUUAAAGAGUUUAGUAAAAAAGAAAAACACAUGGUCUAUAAUUUGAAUUGCUUUUCUCUAAAAACUACCUCUCUUUUGUCAUCCAGUGAAAAAACUUGGGAGCAGUAACAAGGCAGAAGUCACGAGCCUUGCUAGAAUAAGUAUUCCAUUUCUUACUAAACAUCCAAGUGCUCCGUUGAGAAAGGGCUGAAUCUAGGAUGCGGCAGGAGAUGUAAGAAGAUAAACCCAUGUCAUCCUGCCUUGGCUGAAAACAAAAAAAUCUGUCAGAGACCACUGAGGUCAUGUCAAAGGAGGCCAACUUGCAGUGGCUCCCGCUGGCCAUAGAGAGGACAAUGUCAACCAAAGAAUAGCACCCACACAAAAAU
rnacentral:lncRNA from 1 species